rnacentral:rRNA from 1 species
GACGAACGCUGGCGGCGUGCUUAACACAUGCAAGUCGAACGGAAAGGCCCUGCUUUUGUGGGGUGCUCGAGUGGCGAACGGGUGAGUAACACGUGAGUAACCUGCCCUUGACUUUGGGAUAACUUCAGGAAACUGGGGCUAAUACCGGAUAGGAGCUCCUGCUGCAUGGUGGGGGUUGGAAAGUUUCGGCGGUUGGGGAUGGACUCGCGGCUUAUCAGCUUGUUGGUGGGGUAGUGGCUUACCAAGGCUUUGACGGGUAGCCGGCCUGAGAGGGUGACCGGCCACAUUGGGACUGAGAUACGGCCCAGACUCCUACGGGAGGCAGAAGUGGGGAAUAUUGCACAAUGGGAGGAAGCCUGAUGCAGCAACGCCGCGUGCGGGAUGACGGCCUUCGGGUUGUAAAACGCUUUCGCCUGUGACGAAGCGUGAGUGACGGUAAUGGGUAAAGAAGCACCGGCUAACUACGUG